rnacentral:rRNA from 1 species
UACAGAGGGUGCGAGCGUUGUUCGGAAUUACUGGGCGUAAAGGGCGCGUAGGCGGCCUUCUAAGUCGAACGUGAAAUCCCCGGGCUCAACCCGGGAACUGCGUCCGAUACUGGAAGGCUUGAAUCCGGGAGAGGGAUGCGGAAUUCCAGGUGUAGCGGUGAAAUGCGUAGAUAUCUGGAGGAACACCGGUGGCGAAGGCGGCAUCCUGGACCGGUAUUGACGCUGAGGCGCGAAAGCCAGGGGAGCAAACGGG